rnacentral:rRNA from 1 species
CUAAAUUGGACUCCCUCAGUAAUGGCGAAUGAACAGGGAUCAGCUCAGCAUGGAAAUUGGGGCCUCCUGGGCCUCGAAUUGUAGUCUCCAGACGCAUCGCCAGCGGAGGCGCAGGUGUAAGCCUCUUGGAAAAGAGCACCAAUGAGGGUGAGAGUCCCGUUUGUCAUCUGCGGCCCCCCGCGCACGGCGCGCCGUCCAAGAGUCGCGUUCCUCGGAAUUGGAGCGUAAAGUGGGUGGUAAAUUUCAUCUGUAGCUAAAUAUUGGUUCGAGACCGAUAGCAAACAAGUACCAUGAGGGAAGGGUGAAAAGAACUUUGAAAAGAGAGUUAAAAGUGCCUGAAAUUGCUGAAAGGGAAGUGGAUGGAACCAGUGGUGCUUGGCGAGAUUGUUGCGCGUGAAGGUGCCCCCGGACGCGCGCGGUGCUGCUCGCCUUGUGUGUCAACGCCGCUUCGCAGCCGAGGAAAACUCCAGGGACCUGGCUGCCCGUCUCCAGGUGGGUGAAUGUGCCUGGUGGAACUCGCCUGCGAAGCGACUCCCUCGUGUCUGGUUGCAACGCCUGUCUGGCGGUUCCCCGAGACGAAGG